rnacentral:antisense_RNA from 1 species
UUUUACGGUGGGUUGCGCAGGGACCCUUCAGGGUGCCGGGUUGUUCCUUUACCGGUCCGCCAACCUUGUGCAAUCCGCCACCCAA